rnacentral:rRNA from 1 species
GACGAACGCUGGCGGCGUGCUUAACACAUGCCCGUCGAACGGAAAGGCCCUGCUUUUGUGGGGUGCUCGAGUGGCGAACGGGUGAGUAACACGUGAGUAACCUGCCCUUGACUUUGGGAUAACUUCAGGAAACUGGGGCUAAUACCGGAUAGGAGCUCCUGCUGCAUGGUGGGGGUUGGAAAGUUUCGGCGGUUGGGGAUGGACUCGCGGCUUAUCAGCUUGUUGGUGGGGUAGUGGCUUACCAAGGCUUUGACGGGUAGCCGGCCUGAGAGGGUGACCGGCCACAUUGGGACUGAGAUACGGCCCAGACUCCUACGGGAGGCAGCAGUGGGGAACAUUGCACUAUGGGCGGAAGCCUGAUGCAGCAACGCCGCGUGCGGGAUGACGGCCUUCGGGUUGUAAACCGCUUUCGCCUGUGACGAGGCGUGAGUGACGGUAAUGGGUAAAGAAGCACCGGCUAACUACGUG